AUUCUUGCUUUGUUCCAGAUCUUAGAAGGAAAACGUACAGUUUUCCCCCCACUGAUUAUGAAGUUAGCUGUGUGCUUUUCAUAUGUGGCCUUUAUUGUGUGUGGUACUUCGUAUUUCAACCCCACAUGCUUUUCUGGCUACACAGAUCUCACCUCAAGAUGUUGAGACACAUCAGGUCAUAGUCUCUGGAGAAGACAGUGAUUCCUGUCUUCUGCCCAGAAGCGGAGCCGGCCUGCCAGCAUCGGGGAAGCUGAGUGCGGGGAGAGGAACAGCCCUCAGCAACAAGAUCCCUCCUCACAGGGUUACAUACCCACCUUCCUGCCUGGUAUCG